CAAUAGCGUAUAUUAAAGUUGUUGCAGUUAAAAAGCUCGUAGUUGGAUUUGUGGUGUGUCCAGUCGGCCUUUGCUCUCUGAGUGAUUGUGCUGUACUGGUCUGCCAUGUUUGGGUGGAAUCUGUGUGGCAUUAAGUUGUCGUGCAGGGGAUGCCCAUCGUUUACUGUGAAAAAAUUAGAGUGUUCAAAGCAGGCUUAUGCCGUUGAAUAUAUUAGCAUGGAAUAAUGAUAUAGGACCUUGGUACUAUUUUGUUGGUUUGCGCACUAAGGUAAUGAUUAAGAGGGACAGUUGGGGGUGUUUGUAUUCCAUUGUCAGAGGUGAAAUUCUUAGAUUUUUGGAAGACAAACUACUGCGAAAGCAUUUACCAAGGAUGUUUUCAUUA
rnacentral:rRNA from 1 species